rnacentral:rRNA from 1 species
UACGUAGGGGGCUAGCGUUGUCCGGAUUUAUUGGGCGUAAAGAGCGUGUAGGCGGCCAGGUAGGUCUGCUGUGAAAACUCGAGGCUCAACCUCGAGACGUCGGCGGAAACCAUCUGGCUAGAGUCCGGAAGAGGAGAGUGGAAUUCCGUGGUGUAGCGGUGAAAUGCGCAGAUAUCAGGAAGAACACCCGUGGCGAAGGCGGCUCUCUGGGACGGUACUGACGCUGAGACGCGAAAGCGUGGGGGAGCGAACAGG